rnacentral:rRNA from 1 species
UACGUAGGCAGCAAGCGUUGUUCGGAGUUACUGGGCGUCAAGAGUGCGUAGGCGGUCUUUUAAGUUUGGUGUGAAAUCUCCCGGCUCAACUGGGAGGGUGCGCCGAAAACUGGGAGGCUUGAGGAUGGGAGAGGCAUGCGGAAUUCCUGGUGUAGCGGUGAAAUGCGUAGAUAUCAGGAGGAACACCUGCGGUGUAGACAGCAUGCUGGACCAUUUCUGACGCUGAGGCACGAAAGCGUGGGUAGCAAACAGG